ensembl:lncRNA
AGUGGGAGAAUGGGUUGGGAGGAGUUUGAUGAGAUGAGUACUGUUGGCUGAAUCCCAGAAAGAGUUUCAGGAGCACAGAAGCAGGACUCCAAACCCGAUCUGGGAUUCCCUAGAUACAGUAACAUUUAAAUGACCUCUUGAAGAAUGAAUCAAAGGUAGCCAGGAAAUGAGCAAGAGAAGUUUUCGGGUAGAGGAAAAGGUGCAAAGGCCUAAGACAAGAGGCAUCUAUGGGAAACUUGUAGAAACUGUCACCAGAUCUCAAGCCAGCCAAGAUGAGGAUUGAGAUCUUCAUCAGAGCUUGAAGAGAGUCAGAAAGGGCCAAGUGCAGGUCUGCAGAGCCCUAUGAAGGCAUUCUGCUAUUUAUCCCCAAAGUGUGGCACUGGCUGCUUUGUAUGGGUGUCAACCCAUGCUGUUGUUUACAGACCUCAUUGCAAAGAC